rnacentral:rRNA from 1 species
ACUAAACGCUGGCGGCGUGCCUAACACAUGCAAGUCGUACGAGAAAGUUGGCUUCGGCCGAUGAGUAAAGUGGCGCACGGGUGAGUAAUGCGUGGAUAAUCUGCCCUUUAGUUGGGGAAUAACGUACCGAAAGGUGCGCUAAUACCUGAUAAUACUGCAUAACUACUGUUGUGUAGUCAAAGAAGGCCUCUGUUUACAAGCUUUUGCUGAAGGAUGAGUCCGCGUACCAUUAGCUGGUUGGUGGGGUAAUGGCCUACCAAGGCUACGAUGGUUAGCUGGUCUGAGAGGAUGAUCAGCCACACUGGAACUGAGACACGGUCCAGACUCCUACGGGAGGCAGCAGUGAGGAAUAUUGCGCAAUGGGGGCAACCCUGACGCAGCAACGCCGCGUGAGUGAGGAGGUUUUCGGACCGUAAGCUCUGUCGAGCGGGAAGAAAUGUAUCAUGGCUAAUAUCAUGAUACUUGACGGUACCGCUAAGGAGCACC